CCGAUCACUAGUACGGCCGCCAGUGCUGCUGGAAUCGCCCUUAGAGUUGAUCCUGGCUCAGAACGAACGCUGGCGGCAGGCCUAACACAUGCAAGUCGAACGGGAUCUUCGGAUCUAGUGGCGGACGGGUUAGUAACGCGUGGGAACGUACCCUUUUCUACGGAAUAGCCUCGGGAAACUGAGAGUAAUACCGUAUACGCCCUUCGGGGGAAAGAUUUAUCGGAGAAGGAUCGGCCCGCGUAAGAUUAGAUAGUUGGUGGGGUAAUGGCCUACCAAGUCUACGAUCUUUAGCUGGUUUGAGAGGAUGAUCAGCAACACUGGGACUGAGACACGGCCCAGACUCCUACGGGAGGCAGCAGUGGGGAAUCUUAGACAAUGGGGGAAACCCUGAUCUAGCCAUGCCGCGUGAGUGACGAAGGCCUUAGGGUCGUAAAGCUCUUUCGCUGGGGAAGAUAAUGACUGUACCCAGUAAAGAAACCCCGGCUAACUCCGUGCCAGCAGCCGCGGUAAUACGGAGGGGGUUAGCGUUGUUCGGAAUUACU
rnacentral:rRNA from 1 species